UACGAAGGGGGGCUAGCGUUGCUCGGAAUCACUGGGCGUAAAGCGCACGUAGGCGGCUUCUUAAGUCAGGGGUGAAAUCCUGGAGCUCAACUCCAGAACUGCCCUUGAUACUGAGGAGCUCGAGUCCGGAAGAGGUGAGUGGAACUCCGAGUGUAGAGGUGAAAUUCGUAGAUAUUCGGAAGAACACCAGUGGCGAAGGCGGCUCACUGGUCCGGUACUGACGCUGAGGUGCGAAAGCGUGGGGAGCAAACAGG
rnacentral:rRNA from 1 species